GCGCUCCUGCCGUGUUCGUGUUUCGACUGGGUAUUUUCUUGAGCCUUAAAGUGUGCCCUGGGAGCAUAAUUUCGACGCCGUUGUGCAUGUUCGUCUUGCGACGGAAAGCCUGAAGCGUCACUGUUGCUUCCACUUGAACCUACCGGUUCAGGAACGAGGUCGGCAACGGCACAGGCGGGCGCGCC
rnacentral:other from 2 species